CCUACGGGGGGCAGCAGUGGGGAAUAUUGCGCAAUGGGCGAAAGCCUGACGCAGCGACGCCGCGUGAGGGAUGAAGGUCUUCGGAUCGUAAACCUCUGUCAGCAGGGAAGAACGGUCACUGUGCUAAUCAGCAGUGAAUUGACGGUACCUGCAAAGGAAGCACCGGCUAACUCCGUGCCAGCAGCCGCGGUAAUACGGAGGGGGCGAGCGUUAAUCGGAAUUACUGGGCGUAAAGCGCACUGAGGCGGUAUGUCAAGUCAAGGGUGAAAUCCCCGCGCUCAACGUGGGAACUGCCUUUGAAACUGGCAAACUGGAGUGUGUGAGAGGAUAUUGGAAUUCCAGGUGUAGGCGU
rnacentral:rRNA from 1 species